AAAAGAGAAAUAAUCUGGAUUAGGAGUUAGUCAACUACAGUUCUUAUUGUAUUGUUUCCCAUUAUAGGCAGCACAUCUACUACUUUUACUACUGAGGCAUAUUUUAUAAUGAGUAAGUUGUAAUUCAUUUGAUAGGUGCUGGCAAGACGCCUUCCAACUUCUCCUGCUGACUUGGUUUCAGAGGCAGAGAACUUGUAAAUAAGGUGAGUGAAUAUGUGGGAAAUUUUUAAUACACAUUUGAUUAUUUCAGACAUUAUUAUUAACCACCAAAAGGUAAACCAGAAAAUAAGUCCACUCCUUGGAAUUGAGAGAAGUAUCACUGCUGCAUAGCUUCCCCAGACAAAGUGUCUGGAUGGAGAGACCAAUGACAACAUCAAACGCGCCCUAAAGAAGGUGGUCACCGAUCAACAGAACAACUGGGAUUUGAUCUUGGAAGCCACACGCUUUUCCCCGAGGUCGAAACUACACACCACAACAAAGUGCUCCCCAUUUCUUCUGAUGUACGUAUCGGAGAGAAACAGUCUUCCCUUCAGAGACUGCAGCCGACUUGCCGCCGAGUGUCUGGUUCAUACUCAUGACUUGGGGUGUAAAUCACAAAGAAGUCUUCCUUCUAAACAUGAGGAAACAGGGAAGAAAAGUGGGAAGGAUGGAGCCAGAUUUCUCUGGCCAAUUUACAAUCAACUCUGUUUGUGGAAAACUAGCCACCCUGAAGAAUUCAGAAGGAACAAGUUUUAAAAAGAAGUUUAAUGUCAGCCAUUCGAAGGCCUACAGAAGAGAAGACAAUAGAAGUCUGUAAACUUUGAAGCCUGAAGAGACCAAAGCACAAACCAACCUGGAAACUCGCAGCAUUUGAAGCCUCCAAAGAGGUAAAGUUGACUAUCAUACAGCCAGAAAAAUAACCCAUAGUUCAUAACGCAUAGAUAUGAAAGUUGAUACUCAAGAAGGUCACAACUUUGAGUUUCUUCUCGCUGCUUUGGCACCAGUUACUUUUACAUGGUUGUCACAAAGUAUUAAAAGAAUGACACAAGUUAAUAUUUUGCAUGAUGACUGUUUAUUGGAUGUCUUCGAUAUGUGGCUCAUUAACACAAUGACACCUGUUAUCAUUUGCCACAACAUCGGCCUGUUGGUUAAACUUAAAAGCAAGAGUUUCACAAACUAAUAAAAUGUUACCAGAG